ACGGAAGCUGAGGCGCAACGCUCGUACCUGUGAGCACCCGAAUGCUUAGGUUCCCACGCGCGCAGCCGGUCGCUGACCAAUCAGCGGCCGCUACAAGACACGCCUGGGCCGUCAGCCGACCAAUCCAGCGGACCUCUGAGCCGUUGCAGGGGAGCGGGCGUCGCUAGAGCGACUGCCAAGGGGGAGAGUCUUUGGUUUCCUCGGGGCGGCCGCACUUCCGGCCUCCGAGCCCCUGUAGCUUGGCGUUGUUCGCGGGGGCCGGUGGGAUCGGAACCCCGUGCUAGACUGAAAACACGAGCCUCUAAGGCUGAGAGGGGUUUAGUGCGGUUGUGCAGGAGCGCCGGCGCGCGCGACUUUUUCUGUGUUGGAGCGGGUUUAAGGAGGCGGCUCUGGGGGGUGAGGCGUUUAGGUGCGUGGCCUCCCCACUCUCGGGUGAGGUAACACAGACCUUGGAGCCAGAUUUGCUGGGUUUGUACCCCAGCCCCAACAGUUAAGCGCUCUGUGGCUUUGGGCAACUCAGGUAGCAUGGAUCUCAUCAGCACAGAGAGAAAGCUUCACUGAAAACUCAUUGCAGAUGUGCUGUUAUGAACACAGGUACCUUUGACAUUCCAGGGCAGAACGUGGAGCUGGAGUGGGAGAGGCAGAUCAGAAAAAGCAUGUGACGAUCACCUUUCUAUUCAGGAGACACUGCAUACAGCCAGUGGAGGUCGCACCCCUUCAACUCAGAUGGCAACAGUGCAGUCAGAGGCCUGCCCUUCCAAGCCUCAGACCCAUGCAGCAGUACGAAUUGAGGUUAAAACACAGAUGCCACUAACCUGCACACCAAAUGGCAUGAGUCAGUGACACCAGCUCCGAGACCUGUUUUGAGCCCAAGCAACCGUCCAAGCCACACGCCUGCUUCUCCCACUUUCAUGUGCGGACGAUAAUCGUGAUGUCGACAACAACUUGCCAUCUUUCUCUGAAUAUUCAUUCAACAAAUAAUUACUGUGCAUCCACUGAGUGCUGUCCCUCCCCGAGGCACUGAGGUAUGAAGUCUCUGUCCUCCUGGAGCUUGCUGUCCAGUAGGAGACAGAGGGGACAAAUAAACACAUAGAUACGAUAUCAGGUGGUAUACGUUCUGUGAGGAAGCAAAGAAGGGGGGUGAAGGACUAAAGACUGGUGUAGCAGACGAGCCCGGUGCCUUGCCAGCAUCCCCGCGGCAUUCACCUGGGCACGCGGAGGCUGCCUCCCGUGAGCCCCUGAGGCCCUCUGCCUGGGGGCAGUUAUUUUUCUGGCCGUGGGAGAACGCUUGGCCCCCAAGCGGGGUAAGCAAGAAGUAUUAGAGAACAUCUUUCUCACUUUCCUCAUCUCAUAGUUACGAUAUCUCCUUUAAUCCUUUCUUUCACUAUUUCCUCCAGUUGGUUCACUUCUCAUUUCUCUGAUGGCUCUUUUUCUGAGAGUUCUGCCAUUUAAAUAAAAUGCGUCUACCACUGAUUGGGGCAGGGAAGCUGGACCGUCCACAGCCCUGCUUAGGGAGGCAGCCUCCAGGCGAAAAGCAGCAGGCUCCCUGCAGUGGCGCCCCCCUCCCCCGAAUUCUUUUAGAAGAGGGGAGACAGAUCAUCUUCUCCUGCUCCAUCGCCAUCAUCAUUGUCAAGGACACCUUCUCCUGAGAACCCAUUAUCUGCUGAACUUCGGGCCAUUUGUUUGACCGUCAUCAUCUCUGACCCUCACACCAACUCUGAAAACCAGACAGUAACUACAGCCCAGCCCAGGGAGGCAACCUUCCCUCCUACAGCAGCCGAGGCGCUCCCCUCAUACCUCUGGCUGCACAGGACACACCUCAGCAGCGAUUCCCGUGGCCACAGUGCCCUCACCAUGCAUUCUGGGCCCUGCCAAGGCAGUUACUUUGAUCCUGAAUAGGAGACUCCAUAUCACACGGGAUGUGCAGUUCUUUUUAGGCAGCUGGCAUGAGCUUAGCACAGAUGCCUCCCGGAGCAGGACUGCUUUGCUGCCUCCUGGGAGGUCCAUCAUCAAAACCUCCUGCCCUGACCCACAUUGUGACUCUCUCCAUUUGUGCUUCUGGCUGGAGCUACCAGGUAACCGACGUGGGAGUCUAUGACUGACUGCUUCAUUUGGCUCAGAGUUCCUUCUGGAGGAGCUGGCGUCUCAAAGUUGGUUAGCGGUAAGCGAGCCCUGAGGUGCUAGCUAUUAAGGCCUGAAAGGUGGGCACAACUGGGCUGCGGUCUGUGUGGGUGGUCCCCAGGAAGUCCCCUAGCGUCUCUAGGAUUUCAGUUUCUCUCAGGCUGGAAGCAAUCACAUGGUUUUUAGGGCUCCGUUUCACCCCUUUCUUGUCCUGUCCUUAGUGCUUACCAAAUGUCUAUGUGUACAUCUACAUUUUCGGCUUCCUAUGUAGUCAGACUGAGGCCAAAUGACAGAGUGUCAGCUACUAGCCAGUGGGACACAGGCAGCAUUAAUGUACACCACUUCAAGGCUUGGUCCUUAUAAAACCUCCCAGGAGCCUUGCUUCUCUCUUUUCCUCCACUGCUUGGGAACUACACAUUCUAGGCUUACAUCAGACUUUGUGUGAGGAAGAAAUAGAACUAUUAUUGUAUUAAAGCACUGAGCUUUGUUGGUCUAUCUGUUAGCAUAGCAUAGUGUAGCCUAUCCUGACUAAUACAUUUUCUUUUAUUCUGCCUAUUCACUCAUUCAUCCACUCAUUCAGAUGUCAUUCGUUCACUUGAUAUUAAUUAAGUGCCUACUACAUGGCUGGACACUAGUACUCUAGCAUGAAUAUACCUUGGGUUCUUCCCCUGGAGAAGAGGUGGAUAUCUAGGUGAGGAGAUGGAGAUGGAGAUGGGAGCAGAGACAAUAAUAAUACAGUGAUAAGUGUGUACAGGGUGCAUAACAUUGUGUUAUGUGCAGAGAAAUAAACAUUCAGAGGCCUUUACCUUUAGAAAACUUCAACUAUACUCUUUCUAGUUUCUUUCUUUAUCCUUUUUUCUAGACAGUGCUCACCCCUGCAUACUGUGCCAGUUCUAAAAAAAAAAACAAAACCAAAAACUGCAUUUACCACCACUCUCUCCUUCCUACCAGCCCAUCAUUCCAAAUCCAUCUUCCUGAAGUACCAUUUCUAUAGGUCAUGCCCCCGUCUGAAAAUCAUUCAGGGGGGUCUUUCUUUCAUCGCCCACAUAAGGUCCAAACUCCUUAAUUUGGCAUUGAUCCAGUUCUGAGCUGUCUUUCUAACAUUAUUUUCCUCUUCUCCUUCAACCAGAUGGCAUAAUCCAUGUCCAACGACCCACACCAUUGGUGAUCCCACUCCCAUGUCUUUUCUCACACCACUGUUUCCUCAGAAUUCCCCUCCUUGUCUGCCUAAGUCCCUUUCUCUCUUCAGAGUCCCACCUCGAGUGAUAUCUUUGGUCUUUCUGUCUACCCCAGUCUAUAGUAUUAAUAUAUUCAGCAACUUAGAUGAAACGGACAAUUCCUUGGGAAAAAACUAGCAAGGGACAGAGAAAAGAGAAAUAGUCCUAUAUGUCCUAAAGAAAUUGAAUUCUAAAUCAAAACCUUUCCCACAGAGGAAAUUCCAGGCCCAGAUGGCUUCACCAGUGAAUUCCAUAAAACAUUACAGGAAGAAAUAAUCCGAUUUACAGAAAUUCUUUCAGAAAAUAGAGGAGAACAUUUCCCAAUACAUGGUAUGAAGCUUGUAUAACCUUGAUACCAAAACCUGAUGAAAGACACUUCUAAAACAUCUAUAGCUAACAUCAUAUUUAAUGGUUAAACAUUGGCUGCUUUCUCUAAGAUAGGGAAGAAAUCAAAACAUCUACUUUCACCAGUAUAGUAAGACACAAAGAUAUGAAAGGAAGUAGCAAAUACUGUCAUUUUCAGCAAAAUGAUUGUGUAGGUUUAAAACCCUAUGAAAUCUACAAAAACUGCUAGAGCUAAAGAGUAAAAGUAGAAAAGUCACUGGUCAAUAUAUUAAAAAAAUCAAUUGUAUUUCUCUCUCUCUCUAUAUAUAUACUAGUAAUCAAAACUUGGAGAAUUAAAUAAAAAGGAAUACCAUUUACAAUAUUAUCAAAUAUGUAAGUCUAACAGAAGAUUGUGUGUCCUCUACCCUAAAAACUGCAAAACAUUCCUAAGAGAAAUUAUAGAAGGCCUAGGUGAUCAAAAGCUAUACUAUAUUCAGGGAUUAGAAGGCACAACAUUGUUAAAGAUGUCUAUUCUCCCCAGAUGCAUCUAUCGAUUCAAAUCAAUGGGCAACCAAAAUCCCAGCAUUUUUAAAAGAAAUUGACAGGCUGAUUCUGAGCUGUAUGUGAAAAUGCAUGGGUUCUAGAAUAGCUAAAAUAAUCUUGAAAGAGAAGAACAGAUUGGGAGGAUUUAUGCUACCCGAUUUCAAGACUUAGUAUAAAUCUAUAGAGGUCAAGACAGGGUGGUUUUGGCAAGAGAGCAGACAUACAGAUCAGUGGGGCAGAACAGAGGGUCCGGAAAUAGAGCCGCACACAUACAGCUGACUGAUUUUUCGAAAAAGGCGUUAAAUCAAUUCAAUGGGGGAAAAGAAAGGUUUUUGGUUUUUUGUUUGUUUGUUUUACAGAUGGUUCUGGAACAAAUGAAUAUACGUAUGGGAAAAAAUUAAUUUUGACCCCCUACUUCACUCCAUACACAAGUAAUUACAUAAAGAUCACAGACCUAAACACAAAAGCUAGAACUAUAAAAUCUCUGGAACAAAAUACAUGACAAAAUCUUCAUGAACUUAAAGGAAGCAGAUUUCUCUGACAGGGUUCAAAGGGACUAGCCACACAAGAGAAUACUGAUGAACUGGACUUCGUCAAAAUUUUAAAAAUGUCUGCUCAGCAAAAGAAUGCCAUUUAGAAGUAAAUUGGCAAGGCACAGGCUGGGAAUAAAUAUUUGCAAUCCAUAUAUUUGACACAGAACUUUCAUUCAGAGUAUAGAAAGAGCUACUACACAUCAAUAAUAAAAAAACAAAGAACCCAAUUAAAGAUGAGGAGAAGGCAUACUGACAUUUCAGAAGAGAAGGUAGAUAUAUGAAUGUCUAGUAAGCUCAUGAAAAGACAUUCAACAUUAUAUGUCAGCAGAGAAAUUCAAAUUAAAACCACAAUGAGAUACCAUUUCAUAUCCACUGUAAUGACUACUGACGUACCCAGUGUUAGCGGGGAUACAGAGCAACUAGAGCUCUGGUACAUUGCUGGUGGGAGUGUAAAAUGGUACAACCAUUUUGGAAGAAGCUCUGCCAGUUUCUUAUAAAACUAAACAUACACUUAGCCUGUGACUAAGCAUUUUCCCUCCUAGAUAUUUACCCAAGAGAAAUGAAAAUGUAAAUCUACAAAAGGACUUGUACAAAAGUAUUCCUGGCAGCUUUUACUCAUAAUGGCCCCAAACUGGAUACAGCUCAACUAAGGAGGUAAACUGUGCUGUAUUCUUACAAUGGAUUACUGCUCAGCAGUAAAAAGGAAUGAACUACUGAUACAUAAAACAAUAUGAGUAAAUUUCAAGAAGUAUUAUGCUGAAUGAAAGAGGCCAGCUAUUUUUUAAAAAUCAUACUGUAUGAUUCAAUUUACAUGUAGUGCUUGAACGGGCAAGUCUAAUCUAUGUGACAGAAAUCAUAAUAACGGUUGACAAAGGGGGUGGAAGAUUGGAAAGGGGUACUAAAAUUUGGGGGGUGAUGGAACUGUACUAUAUAUUAUUUUGGGAGGUGGUUGCACAGACGUAUAUAUCACAGCUCAUUGAACUCAACACUUAAAAUGUGUACACAACUUAAUUGUAUGUUAAACUAUAUCUCAAUUUUAAAAUUACUCCUUCCACCACCCCCAGAAAACCCUGUUGGGUGCUACUGUAAUGUACUGUUAUGAUUUUCAUAUGCAGUUAUCCAUUUUAAACUUUCCUAGAUCCCUCGGCAGGACCCGCACGGUACUUGGGACUCCAUAUUUGUCGAAUCAAUGAAUGAGUCAUAAUCAGACAGUGUAAAAGAGAAAUAAAAGGUAAAGGAAAACUAGAAUACGACACCAUACAUAAUUCCACUGUUUCCAUUUUUCCGGGAGUCAACACCAUUGCAAACGCAGGUCCCUAUCUCCCAGCACAUAACAAUAACCCAGUGUCUAAGACAUCUUGCUUUUAUUUACAAUAAAAGAGGCAAGGAAAUAAGAGAAAGCUUUUGUCUCCCACCUCCUUUUGAGGUGACACCACAUAAUUAUUACUCCGUUUCUUAACUCUAGUGCGAGAGACCAAAAGACAUCGGAUGAAUCACCUUUUCAUUCAUAAAACCCUGCUUAUAUCUUUCAUCGCUUUUAUCCUCCUAGAAUAAUAGCAGAGAAACAGCACUUGACGGGCCUACAUUAUCAGACUCUAUUGGAAAGGUCUAGAUAAGAGUGCUGAACCACCUAUUAGUAUUCUGCAUGCAAACCCUUCUCCGUAACCCAGAGUCAUCCGUAUCCUGGCAACCCUCAGAAUUUCAUUCUCAUUGAAUUGCUAGAUCUUUAUCAAAAUAUAAUUAGAGCCUUAAUUCGAAAGAUAAAUUUUGAUUGCCAGUGCCAUGCCGAAAGGAAGGAAUAAUCAGGUGGGAGAGCGCUUAGGCACAAUUGUUAACCAUAUAAUCAAUGUCAUGGAUCACGCAUCCCCUAAAAAACAUAACUUUGGGGGAAGUUGUGAGGGGUAGAGCAAGGAGGGGAAGAAAUCACUGAGGCACCAGACUUACAUUAUGUUUGCUCGUUUUCUCAUAUUGUUGCUUAAGUACUUGUCAUCUCUUCCCAACUGGAAGAGUUUGGGGAAGGCCCAUGCUGUGUGUCCUGCUUCUGUGUGUGCUCACAGUGGCCCAGUCCGUAGCAGGAAGUAACGUGGUCUACAAGCCUCCUAUCUUGGGUCAGGUCUCCUGGAAGCAGACUUUGAGAUAGACAUCGGUGUGUGGGAAGCUUACUAGCAAAUGCUCUUCAGGUCAAGACCUAUGGAGGGAAUUAAGCAGGACUGGGCAGAGAGAGAAGUUGGGCUGUGAUACCGUCACAACAGAGGAUCAGCCAGCCCCAUUGGGGGAGCUCUGGAGCUGGGAUAGCUCUGCAGAAUUGUCCUGAAUUGCAGCGUGACCAGUCAUUGGAUGUGCGCUGACCUGGGAAGGGCUGUGACCUUGGGCAAGGUGGCUCUCUUCAAGGACAAUUCCCAAAGAGGGACUUGGCUGUGAGGCGUCAGCCACCAGUGCCCAGCUCUGACGAAUGAGUGCUUGGGGAGCAAGCGCUUGAGUCCUGAUGAGGAAGGGGGAUACAGGUGGUGCAUCAAAGUAGCCACUGCACCUCCACUGGCUACAGUGACUCAAGGGCCUGGGGAAGAUGAUCCGAAAUGGAACCCUGACAGAUCGAACCCACUAGCCCAUCUGUACAGGAGAGCAGCUCUCCACCCUGUUGCGCAUGCUAAGUCACCUCAGAAUGUGUGACUUGCUGGGAAAGAGGAGGUCUUGUCCCCUGAUCCAACUGGCAUGCUCCCGACUUGAGGGUGGGUACUGAUACUUAAAAAAAAAAAUCAAUAGCUCCGAGACACAGCCUGCAAGGGGCCAGAGAACAGAAGUCACACACUUCAGUUCCCUUUGCUUUGGGGCAGUCACAUCUGCAGCCUCACUGCUUCCAUGGUCGUAAGUGGUUCAUUAGUUUGGGGAUGGAGAAAGCACCAGGCAUAUAUAACUGUCUUUCUCCAUUGGAGUAAAAGUAAUAGAUGUAUUUAACCUACAUUUCCAUGUACAGUCAGCUUCUCCUGAGACCUUUGGGAAUGCUCAAAUCUGUAAAUACAGAAGCUUCAGAGUUCACCACUGUGCUAGGUCGUCUGUUUCCACCCGUCCUGGUAUUCACGCCCUUGGUUAAUUCCCUGCCCUGGAGUCUGGGCUGGUCCUGUGACUUGUGUCAUCCUGUUGGUAAAACAAGUCACAGGCCCAGCCUUGAGAAGGCCUGGAAGCUUCUGCCUUUGCGCUCUUGGGGACCCUAAGCCACUAGGUAAGAAGUCCAGCUUCUGGACUUCUGGCAAGGCCACUUGGACAGGCCCUGAGACUACUACACAGAAAGAGACAGAAGCACAGCCAACCCAGCGUCCCAGCGGAGCCUAGCCCCCAGGCGACAUAGCAACUGACUGGCCACCGGCAAGACUAUCACAAGAACUGCCCAGUGAGCGCCUCCGACACUGCAGGAUCUUGGGCCAGCCGAUCGGCUGCUGUUUCUGAAGCCAUUAAGUUUCGGGGUGGAUUCGUACACAACAACAGAUGGACAAAACAACCCUAACUAGCAAUUACCUCGAGUCAAAGGGCUAUGCUGGCCUCGCCCCACCCCUAUCAAGUCAACUGCCUUUUAAGGUUGAACUGAAGAGUCCUUCCUCAUUUGAUGGCCGCUUUUCACAAGGAAACCAACAUUUUUAUUACAUCAUAAUAGUUACCGCCUACCCAGUGAUGAAUAGACCAAAAAAUUUUGAAGGAGAAAAAAAAUCCUCACUAGGCUGUCGGCGCCGGAGGUCAGGGAUUGGGCUCUCUCCCUAGCUAUGUAGCUUAAUCCUGUGUAUCGUUUUCAUAUGCUGGGGGCUCAAAUUCAUGCCUCAGUAAGUUUACAAAUGGCUCCCUGUCAUGGACCUCCAAGGUCAUUCACUAAGAGAAGAAACUCAGAAUAUUAAAUCCUGAGAUUCAGGGUCAGUGUUGACUGGACACGCUAGAGAGGGCUGGACACGGAGCCCACCAGGUCAGAGAUGGAGCGUAGCAAGAUGAUCCAGGGCUGGCUUCUGGAGCCAGAUCACCUGGGAUCAAAUCCCAGAUCUGUCACUUGUUGGCUGUAAAACCCUGGGCAAGUUACUUAACUUCUCUGUGCCUCAGCACCCUUAUCUAUAAAGUUGGGAUAAUAACAGUCCCUCCCUCGCAGGGUUACUGUGAGGAUUAAGUGAGUUAAUAUAUGUACAGGGCAUAGACCAGUGCCUGGCUCUUCUGAGCCUAACUCUAAGUGGUUCUGCAGUAAAAACAAAAAACAAAAAACAACAAAACAAAACAAAAAAAAGAAACCAAAAAACCCCCAAAAAAACAAAAACUCACAUGGACCUUAAGUAAUACAAAUAGCUGUUUUUAGUGACUAUACAAGAUGAAAGCUAUCUAGGGACUGUAUAUCAGCUUUCUGAAACUAUAUCCCGUAUAACUUUUCAUAAGAGGGCAGAGUGAACAGAGCAUGGCAGAAGGAGCACUGAGCCAAGAGAUGGAGACCUACAUUCUAAUUGCAGCCCUGCCAUAAACUAGCUGUGUCACAUUGGGCAAGUGAUCUAUAACAUGGGGGAUAAUACAAUGACCUUGCCUAAAGAGGCUAGACCAGAUGGUCCCUCUAGGAACCUUUUAUGUCUCAAUACCUUUCCAAAUCCUGAGACAGGAAAGGGCAAGUGGAAUGACGACCGUUUUAAAGAUGGAGACACGUAUUUGGCCACGUGACUUGCCCAGAGCCAAAUCCACUCCCAAAGGAGAGCAAAACAGGGGCAUCUUCCGUGCCACAGAGCUUAUUGCUGCGGCACAGACUACAUUUCCCAGCUUCCCUUGCAGUUUGAUGUGGCCAUGUGAUUGAGUUCUGGCCAGUGGAAUGUGGGUGGUGAUGAGGUGUGCUACUUCCAGUCCUCCUACCGUGCUCUCUCUUUCCCCUUCUGCUGGCUAGAUACAAAGGAACCCAGGAGGGACUCCAAGGCCCUAGGGGAUAGCAGAGCUGCAAGAGGGCAUGAGACCAGGUUCCUUGUCAUCACAAGCCAAAAGUUGAUUAGACUUUAUAUGAUUAAAAAAAGAAAAACUGCAUUGUGUUAACAUCCUGAGAUCUGGGACUUACUUGUUACAGUAUAACCUAAUCCAUACACUCAGUGCGAGUCUCUAGUUAAUGGCUGAUUCAGGUUCUGAGCUUCAAGAGGAAGCAGCCUUUUUCUGUUUAAGUGCAAGAGAUCACUGACAUCUUAUUUGUAGAGGCAGAGCCAAGACAAUGAAGUCUUUAGGAAAUCUGAAUCCCAACUCAUGGCCCUCCCACGGGCCCUUCUCAGGGUGCCAAAGAGUUAGCCACUGUUGCACUGGGCCUUUUGGCUACACUGAAUCAUCAGUAAUCUUGCAUCUUCUGUAGGGAACACAAAGAUGAGGGGCAUUUUAAAGAUAAACCAGCAAAUGUUCUCAAGCCUCUAAGAGAAGACUAAUCAGGAAUGAUGAGAGGAUUUAGCAGAGGUGCUUUCUUUCCCAGUCUCUUCCUUCUCCCAAAUCAAACUCUACCUUAAUAUUGUCCUGAUGAUUAUAUUUCUGACCUACCUACAGAAAAUAAAGGUAAAAUUUUAAAAUCAAAAUUCACUUUGAAAAGGAGGAGAGAAUCACCCAGUAGGUUCCGUCUUGAAUAGCGAACUGAUGGUGGUAAUUUACACCUUCCCUCUUAAAUUCCCAUACUCUUUAGUUUAUUUCUUUCAUGGUUAAAAAGUUAGUUAGGCAUUUACAUUUUUUCAGCCAUUACCAAUGCAUUUUUGCAACAACAAAAAAUUCCUAUCAUUCAACCAGAUCAAGAACAGAUGGGGCCUGUUUUCUUCAAGCUGGACUUUGCCAUCUUUGCUGCCAAAGAAAAGGCGAACAUGGGGGAAAUUAAGGCUUUUGAAAAUAAAUAACGGGAGAGCCCUGGCAGGCUCAAGGGAUCCAGAACCCGCAGGAAGAGAUCUGAGCUUCCCACCAUCCACUAGGAUCACUGAAGUCCUCAGUCCCUUCCUGUCUCCCUUCCAUGUGGUACCUUCCCCAUCAGCUGGGGCUGGUCCCCUUCAGACAGACUGGGUACCUCUCAAUUUCCAAGAAGAGAUCCCUCACUCAACUGUCCAGGGAUUUCCAUCUGGAAAAGAAAGAGGGGCACCCCAGCUACUAUCUGCACCCAGGAAGCUGGCAUGAUUUAAGCACCACCUGGACCCUUUGGUCUCUCUGUAUUCUGGGCCAAACUCCACUGCGGGGAGUGGCCUGCUGGCCCCUAGGCACAGAGGAGGAAGCCCCACAUGUGGCUUUCCAGGGAUUUCCAUCUGGAAAAGAAAGAGGGGCACCCCAGCUACUAUCUGCACCCAGGAAGCUGGCAUGAUUUAAGCACCACCUGGACCCUUUGGUCUCUCUGUAUUCUGGGCCAAACUCCACUGCGGGGAGUGGCCUGCUGGCCCCUAGGCACAGAGGAGGAAGCCCCACAUGUGGCUUUCCAGGGAUUUCCAUCUGGAAAAGAAAGAGGGGCACCCCAGCUACUAUCUGCACCCAGGAAGCUGGCAUGAUUUAAGCACCACCUGGACCCUUUGGUCUCUCUGUAUUCUGGGCCAAACUCCACUGCGGGGAGUGGCCUCCUGGCCCCUAGGCACAGAGGAGGAAGCCUCACAUAUGGCUAGGCAGAACUCAGAGGGAAUGUAAAGCUGCAGAGACCCAUGGCUGGGGGCUGGGGAGGGGUCUCUGUCUGGACUCCCAUCCCCCGAUCUUGCAGCCCAGUUGCUUAGGACCUCACAUAGGGAUGGAUGGGCUGCUGCUCUCUCACACAGAUCAGCUUCCUAGCAUCCCCACCCUGUCCUGAGACUGGUGGCUGAACUGCUCUGAAGGAUGUGUGCACCUGGUCACAGGCUGUCUGGGGGCCCAGUGUGGCUCACCCUUACAUCCUUGUAAUAGUGGGGUCAAGCUAAGCUGCAUCUCCAGCCGCAGGGUAUUUUUAGACGCUGUUAUCUUUGUCUUGCUCACAAGCAGCUGUGAAAAACAAAGUGGUGACCAGGAGGCACGAAACUAUAAAAUAAAAACCUCAUAAAGCAAGAGCUCCCAAACUCAAGAGCAGAGCACACUAUGGCUAAAACGCUGCGCACCAUCAUGGCGGGCCUGCUUAAUCUUCCCCUGAGGGGGCACCAGGUGGGGCUUUGCUCUUUUACUGUCCACCCAUUCCGGGCCUGGCAGGCCCUGGGCAGGUCCAGCUUUGGCCCACCGGCCGGCAGGGCUAGUCAGCCAGCAGCCCUACUCACGCCCACAGACGGUGACCCAGGUGGACAGGUGUGCCAAGGGAGCAGGCUUGACGGGGUUAACACUGCCACAGAAGGAAAAGCUCCAGCUCUCUCGCCUCUCUUUUCCAGCUCAUCCUUAACAGUCCAUUUGCCUUACAGCAUCACAGCCAGCUCCAUGACAGUGAAACCCCUGCACAGGCAGAAUGUCACCCAACACCAAGUGGCAGGGCAGGAAAACAGGAUGGGGCACCAAGAGGUAUCCCCCAACUUCUCCCGAGCCCUCAGAGCCCUUGGAAGGCCGAGCCUCAGGGUGCCCUCCCACUUAACAGUGCCUUCGAGUCCCUUCGCCACCAGACCAGGCAACCCCUGCAGCCCCCUCUACCCAGCUAGUAAAGGCCCUGGCAGCGGCGUGUAAGGGUGCCGCCCCUCCCCCAAACCCGGGCUGGGGGGUGGGGAGGAGGCGGCAAACUUCAAAACUGCAGCUGCGAUAUGCUUCAAAAAAAAAAAAGAAAGAAACAAAGACCCCUGAAAGCCACAGAAGCUCCCCUCCUCCCUUGGAGCUAUGUGCGGUCCACCUUGACCGCCCGCUCAUCCUCACUCUUCUCUGCCAAGGGAACCCGGCUCUCAGACCUCGGCCGGGGUUAUUUCCUCAGGCUAGCGCGCGGCGGGGCUGUGGCUCUUGCUUCCUCCGUUCCCUAAGUUCACCCACCACCCAGAGGUGUGAAAAAUUAGUUAAAAAUGAUGUCACCUACCCAUACCCCCUCCCCCCCACGCUGGUCCCAUCUCAAACACACCCGCGUGGCCUGGGCUGUGAGUCGCAGAGCAUCCCGGGGGGUUGCGGUGGGGCGCCGCGCCGAGGCUAGCCUCCCCGGGUGCCCGCUCAGGCUCAGGCUCGGGCUCGGCCCUGGGAAGCCUGCCGGCGCAUCGUUCCCCCGCUGCAGAAAUCCUACCGCCCGUGCGCCCUGGGCGCGCCGCCGGGCCCCGCGCCGGCUCCCCAGGAAUGCGGCCGUCAGGUGAGGUAGGCAUGCGUGCCGGCUCCGCAGCGAAGCAGCAGCUGGCUGGGGCGCGGGGCUCGCGAUCUGCGUCUUCUCCCUCUCCCCGCAAAGGAGAGGCCUCUCGGGGGCUUUUCAGCGCCUCGUUGCGUUAGGACCGCAUUCCCCCUUCCUUUUCCUUUUUAUAUUAGUUUCUGCUUCAGAUGCAAAAAGGGAGAUCGCAGGAGUCCAUGCCCAGCUCCAGCCAAACUCGGUCCACAGGCUGAGAGAGAAUUAUGAAUGGAUGCUGCCUUCUGAUGAGGAAGUCGACUGGGGAGGUCUCUGCGCACGGCGCACUCCAUCAAAGCCCGGGCAUUGGCCCCUCCACUGCUUCAAUGCUGCAGGCAGAGACACCUAAUUGACCACUGGGAAAUCAGGUGCCUGGAGACCUGGGCGGGACGUAGCCCCAGGGCCACGCUGGGAUCGAGCGCCUUGCCUGUGUAGACAGCUUCGAUUUACAGCCCAGUGAAUGGAGGGGACUGCGGCAGCCAAACCUCCCGGGCAGCAGGCACGGCUGCACCAACGCUCUGCAGACAGCCGCCCAGCUCUGUGAGCAUCUCCUGGCUCCACUGGGCUAAAGGGAACCUGCUAAAAAUAAUCCGUCCCCUGCUGCCAGCCGCAGUGAGCUGCAGGACUCAGACCCCAGCCCCAAACUCGGUGGCGCGCGGGAGCCGGCCACAACGCGGGCCCUGUGCACUGAGACAAGCGGGGGGCUGCGGAGGAUCCCGGAUCCGGAUUUCUGGUACCUGUGCGUUUCCUUCUCCGGUAGCGCGACCGCUGGUGCUGCGCGUUACCCAUGCCCAGAGUGGCGGCGGGCUCGGCACAUCACCAUCAGGCUGGACCGACCGCGGCUGCUCAACACCGCACCCCCGUGGCUCCCUUCUCACCUCCCGGCUCCCUGGUCUCUGGCCAACAGCAGAGGAAUCAGAGACGCCGAUCGUGCCAACUCCUCCAGCCGGGGCAAGAGGGAGGACAGAGACUGGCGUGGAGCAUGUGCCCACGCGCGUAACAGGAUUAGAGCGGCCCGAAUAUUGUAACAUUGCGUCCCCUCCCCCUAGUCAUCUCCGAAACCUCGCAGCCUAGACACAAGUCACCCUGCCCAGGCUUAAAAACACUGCAAAGACAGUGCCUUCCCAGCGACGUGCUAAUCUCCAGGGAAGGGUAAUUCAACCAGCUCUGAGGAUGAACCAGGGUUAAAAGCCAUGGCAGUGUGUGCCCAUGCCUUAGGCUGGCAGGUUCUCUAUGUAACAACCACAUGCAGAAGACAGAAAGCCAUUUAGGGCCACGUAAAACACAACACUUAUGGGAUAUAUCCUAAUAUAUAACAAGGGAAAAACCAGUGAAUGAAAUUAUCCAAAAUGUGCCUUGUGGGAGGCAGUUUUCGGUAAUUUGUCUUGAUGCCUUGGAAACCCAUUUAGGGAAAACUUGACUAUUUUUUGACCAGGAUACCUAUCUUCAAAUAGGGAGACUUAUGCCCUGGGCAGAUUUGCAUGCCAGAGCAGUACUGCGUCCACGAGGCCCCUGACUCUUCCAUAAUUCACAAAUUGUGGUGAAACACUCGACUUGCCAAGGUCACAAGAAAUCACAGGGUUUGCGCAAGCACUGGUAGAGAGUACUUCCUAAUUGGCAUUACUACGAAUUAUGACUGUGGUCACAUAAAGUACCACAUGCAACCCAAGUUAGUCUGGGUUGGCUGCUCUCCUCUGACCCCACUCACACCAACCUCCUCAGACGGCUGCCAGCCUCCAGCAGAGACUAGAGAAGGUGGCUGGAGUCCCCCCUGGAAGACAGAGCGCGGCUAGGUCAGGAAGGAUGAAGUGGGAGGAGGUGGCACUGUCACUCCCCCAGUGAGGCUGAGAAGAGUCAUGAACCCCAAAGUUUAAGGGGUGGGUAGGCAAGGGAAAAGAGCCCACCAGAGACACAGAGAGAGAGAGAGAGAGAGAGGAGUCAGAGACAGACCAGGAGGGAGGGAGGGCCCCCUCUUAGAAACCGAGGGACCAAAGGGUUUCACGAAGGCGGCAUGAUCAAGAAUGCCAGACGUCACUGAGGGGGCAGUGGGGGCAGUACCCACCGCUCCUUCGUCUCCAGGAGGCCUAGUGGAGUGGCCACGGGGGUGUGUGGGGUGGGCGGGGAGGCCAGUCAGAGCUGCUGAAAAGAAAAGGGAAGGCUUUCCCUUAGACUUGCUCAUCAAAGGACCAGCAGCACCCGGGAGCCCGUUAAAGGUACAGAGAGCUCCGGGACAGACUCCACUGGGGCACGGGGAGCCCCGCCAUGUGUGGACUCAAACCGCUCAGGCCCUGAAAUGAGAGCUCAUGUUCAGACAAGCAAAAUGGCCCCCCUCUACAGCGAUCCCUGCAAGAUCGUGGGGAGCUGGUGGCCAAAUUACUAAUCACACAUCCCAAGGAGAUGAACCGCGUUGCUCCGGGUUUUCAGGGCUGCUCUAUCAAGGGAGAGCCUUGGCAGUGAGGCCUGCAGAACUCUAUUAAGUGAUGAAAAUGGCCAUCCGUGUCUUGCCCUUCGCAGUGAUCUUUACAAUUAUGAGGUGGUUGUUAACAGUGGUGAUGAAAAUAAUGAUAUAACUAGAUUACUUACAUCUGGAUAAGGUUUUAGCAAGUCCCGUGGUAUAGAGAAAAAAAAAAAGAGAGAGAAAAAAAACCCAAAACAACCCUGGACUUUGGUCCCAGAAAGACCUGUGUUUGAAUCCUAGCUCCUCCACUCUCAGCAGUAUGGCCUUUGGAAAAUCAUUUGACUUCCCUGAACCUUGGUCUCCUCACUUGUAAAAUGCAAAGAGGAAUGCCUAAUUUACAGGGUUGUUAGAAAGAGGAAAUAAAAUGAUAGAUACAAAGCUCCAUGAUGGUGCCUGACACAUAAUAAAAGCCCAGUGAAGGUAGUUCCUUCCUUGAGACCUUCCCGCACAUGCUCAUAUUGGAGUUUUUCUGAGUUCCCUACCCCCUUCAUGGUGGUUAGGGUCCCUGUUGCUUCCUAUGGUUUGAGGGUCCAAAAAGAAGUACGUAUUGAACGUCUCUUAGAUGCCAGCUACUGUGCUGGGUUCUGGCGGGGAAAGAGCAGACUCUGGGCCCUUCUGGAGCUGGCAUUCAAAGGGCGGAGUUUACGUCCCAGCCCAUGUGGGUGUCCUGCUUGUUUUUUCUGUCAGCCAAGGGUACCAGGUCUCAGGAGGAAAAGAACUGCAAAUGUGUCCUCCCUUUAGGACAGUGAUGGUCUAGAGCAGGGAUCAGCAAACUCCUUCUGUAAAGGGCCAGGUAAUAAAUAUUUCAGGCUCUGAAAGCCACGUGGUCUCUGCUGCCAUGACUCCACCCUGCUGUUAUAGCUCAAAAGGCAUAAAUGAAUGGAUGUGGCUGUGUUCCAAUAAAAUUUUAUGCACAGAACAGACGGGGGGUGGGGCGGGUGGGGGGGAUUUGGCCUGAGGGCCCUAGUUUGCCAGCCUCUGAUCCUUCAGUGUGACUUAGGACAGGACUAUUCCCUUUCACUGGUAUUACCAGGAAGUGUAUAAGUCUACAUAGGUGAUUUUCCAUACAAUUCAAGUUUAUCCAACCAAGAGCAGUUUACUGAAGCUCCCUGUUGUGUUAGAGCAUAUUUUAUACUUUCCCCGGAAAAGACUGGCUAGUUUGUUGUUCAGCAAACUGUCUCCGCCUUUCUCCUCCAGCCAGCCUCCCUCGCAGACAGGCGCAGCCAUGUAACUGUGUGCUAGCCAGGGGGAUGUGGGAAAGGGCUGUGUGCCUCCAGGUCUGGCCCAGAAGAGCUCCUGCCCGUUCCUACACACACUCCCUUCUCUCCCCCGCAGGAGGUACACAGAGGCUCUACAGGGUGGAGAAACCCCAAGAUGGAAGGCGCCUGGGUACCAAAUGACUGCAUGCCGACCUGCAUUAGACUGCAGUGUGAGAACGAAGCCACUGACAUGAGAACAAGGAGGGUGGAGAUGACCUGGGAGGUUUUCGCUAGGUCUCUCACGCUGGAAGCCUAUUGUUCCAUGAAACCUGGAACCAGCACCACCUUCUGAAAUGAUUCCUCAUCGUCAGUUCUUAUUUCUUCUUGCCAUUUCUGCUGAUCAUCCAGAACUGACCACCCUACGCGUAAAUUUCAGCAUCUGCAAGGGCAAUAAUAUGUUCUGGCAUCUGCCCAGCCUGGGUAACCUUUUUGCCCCAGGCUGACCUUGUUGGUGACCUUGGGGAUCCCAAUUCCAGCUCCACUCUCCAGGAUACACACCCUCUCCGUGUGUUUCCCUAAGGUGGCUUCCCCGCUUUACUCUCUUUGGCUCCGAUGCUAGAAACCCAGUUUGGCCGCCAAAGUUUAUUUCCCUGGAGCAAGCUGGAUGCCCCUGCAUAGCUAUGGCUGUGGCGGAGCCUUACUCCUGAUCUCUCCUAUUAGCAGCGUCGCUACUGCUGCCCCCGCCCACUGCUCCCAGGAGACCCCGCGACUUUCACAAGAAAUCACUGCUACAAAGUGGCUCACUCGUUCGUAAGGAACUGUGUGUUUAUUCAUAUAUAUUUUAUAUCAUAACAAAUGUAAAUUAAUUUCAGGGGCCCAACUACCCAAGCUAGUAUCUAUAUGGCUGCCUGUACAACAUUUCUCUCUCAAAAUUCUCAAAACCAUCUGGCGUCAACUACUGUAUUGUGACCUGUUAAAAUAAGUAACAGCUGUGAUAAUCCCUCUCGAUUUAUGGCAAGCUAUAAAGCUUUGCAUAUACUGGCAGUGCAUAUAAGAUAAUAAAUAAAACCAUUAUCAUUCUGUGCUGUCUUGAUGGGAAUUAUGAUGAUUUAGCCAAAAUGGAGCCCCAUGGAAUGCAUCAGAGAAGCACGGGUUUUGCCCAAUCUGGCCUGCUUUAAGCCCCCAAAGACCAACCUCACUAUUUAGAGCUCCUAGAUGUUUGCAAACUUUAUCCAAUGUAGAUGCAUCCUUUCUGAGAGAACAUCAUUCCCAUCAUCAUUUCAAAGCCUUCUUUCCUGAUGGUGAGUUUCCAGAAUUCCUCAGCAUAGCCAGACCAUCAAGAAAACCAACCUAUGUACAAUUCAAAAAUGUGAAAUAAUUUGUAGCACCAAAAGUAAGAAUUGGCUUGGAACUGUUAGCUGUAAGCUUAUGUUUACAAAUACUGCCAAGAUCCCAGGUUGAAAAAUACUAUAGCAUGGUCAGCUCUCUAACAUAGACAGUAUGUGGAAAAAGAAAAGCUGGUAGCUGGCAGAGAAAGCAACUGGGCAGCUUUGAUUCUAAGUAGAAGUUACUACGUCCACUGCACAUGAAUUUCAAAAACUUAAGGGGAUGGGGAAGGAAACUAGCAUGAAAUGGCGCUUUACUGUGUACUGUGUACUGUGUACGCCAUAAUCUCGUUUAAUCCUCACAACAGCCCUAUGCCUUAGGUAUUACCAGGCCUGUUUCAUGGUUGAGGAAGUUGAUGCUUAGAGAGCUUAAGUAACUUGGCCGAGGCCAUCCGGCUAAAAGUUGGGGAGAUGGAGUUUGAACUUGGAUCUGUCGGAUUCCAAGAUUCAUGCUCUUUCCACCUCACCACACUGCCUUCUGGAUAGCUGUUCACAAUCCUUGAACACUACGACCCACAUGGUAGAUAGUAUUUACAUGGAUGACUCGUUGUCAUGGCCACGGGCAAUUCCUACCCCUUCGGUCCCACUUACAAAGUCUAUCUGAAUGCAGGUGAGAGUUACCUUAUUAGUGGAAGAACGCUGAACGCAUAUAUAUGGAAUCCAAACCCAUUUUCAUUUAUAUAUUUUAAAAAUUGCAAAUAAGGGUGCUUGGUUAUUGUAUCGAUUUCAAAAAAGAGCUACAGUACUUUUCAGCUCUUGGUGGAAUCUAUUUCUCCACCCUGAAUCUGAGCAGGCCUGGUGACUUAAUUUGGCCAACAAAAUGUAGCGGAAGUGACAUUGAACCUGUUCGGAGCCUAGGCCUCAAGAUGCGUUCCAACUUCUACUUCUGCUGAUCUUGGUGCCUCCCCAGGCUUACUGCCACGCUGUGAAGAAGGCUGGGCUAGGCUGUUCUCUUGGCUCAUGAGACACACGGGGCCCACUUUCCCCCUCAUUCUGACCCAUAGCCUGCUAACCACCAGACAUGUGAAUGAGGCCACCCUAGGGCAUCUAGUGCCAACUGAGUGACUACAGACACACAAGCAAGCCCUGCAGGGCUCAACCAGAAGGACCAGCCAUUCAAUUUUAAGCCACUAAAUACUGGGGUGUUUUGUUACCCAGAAAAGACCAACUGAGGAAGUUCAUUAAAUUUUUAACCACUUGUCAAAACAGAUGCUAAGCGUUGAGAAUUGUUCAUUUAAGUGCAGAUAUCAAUAAACUAAAACCUCCUUUAAAAAAACGAAUUUCUUUUUGGUGGGUCCAAAUAUUGCCAUAGCUCAAAGUCUUCACAUCAUCUCAUUUAUUUAUCACAGCACUCUCAUCCCGUGAAAGUGCCAAUUCAGCGACGCUUCCUAUGAAUAGCCUUCGGUCCCAGAAACCCACCUUCCCCUCCUCAGUCCUGGGCUGGCCAGGCUGAUGUUGGGUCGCGUGGUCUGGGGAAAAGACUCGCCAAGGGGAGUGGCCCAGAGCCACCCUCAAGAGUCGAUCAGUGGAUAGAAGAAAGUGAAGGAGAGAGGAUGUGUUCAACCCCAGAACCCCCUCGGGGAAAAAGAGGAGUAACGCCCUGGAACAAGAAGAACUAAAGUGUAUUAGGGUGUGGGGGCAGUUUUGUAAUAGUCAACAACAGCGGUCAUGGCCGUCUUCUUAAGAAGAGAGGGUAUCCAAAGACACAGGUGGGCAGGGGGAAAGAGAUGCGUACCCUUCUCCUUCCCACACACCUGGGAAACUUACAGAUGGAGACCCUCAAAAGGAAGAAAAGACUAAUUACAAACUAAAUUAGGGCCACACUCGACAAUCUAAGAAAGGAAGAAAUAACGGUUACAACUCAAUACCUCAAACAGUAGUCCUCAACCUUGGCUGUACGUUGCAAUUUCAACAUAGUGAACUCAAUUCCUGCACUCUUAAUUGCUACAUUAAUUACUAACUUUAUUCAAUAGGAAAAACAUUCAGCAUGUGGAGUUCCUAGCAGUUUCAUCAAAAGCCACUUCUUUUGAAGAAAAUGCUGGAAAGUAACACGUGAGUUGAUUAUUCAGCUAUCUUCACACGUGGGUGCUUGGGCUUUUUUCUUUUCUAAUUUUCUUAGUAAACCUGGGAACCUUUGCACUUUGAAUAAUUUCUCUUUUCUUUCUCUCGGUGUCCUCUAGUUAUACAAACACAAAACAUAAUUACAGAGGCAGUAUUGACAUCUAUAUACCUAUGGUUUUUUCAUUUGGUAUUUACAGUGCUGAGUGAAUGAAUUAAUUUAGUUUAUUUUACUUCUUGGGAAAAAGUGUAUGUGAUGAAAGGGGGCCCCCGUUAGUUGACUCCGGCAAGGUUUUAUAAGGAGCGUAUAAAGGAAAAGGAGAAAGAAAGAAACCUUCUUUGUAGCUCUGUGAAAAUAUGUUGGUCUGCGCCCUCAAUGAUUUUUCUACAUUUGUGGUUCAACACGUACUAAUUAUGUUCCCGAAAAGGGGAUGUUUUACUGAGAAGCUUUAUGAAUUCAAAAAACAAACAACCCUCCCUAUACCAGUGUUUGCAGCUUUUCCCAUUUCAGGCUCUGACCCUGCUUCGCAACAGCUUUGCCCAGUUUGAGAACAUGGAUUCAGGCUCUGGGCUGGGACCUCCGUGAGUUGCCUUCCAGGUGGAAUCAGAACUGAAACAUCCGGAUCAGAGGAAACAGAAAAAGAGUUAUUACGUGCCCAAUUGGGAGGGAAGGUUUCUUCAUUGAAGGAUGGGGUCAAGUUGAACAACAGAAAGAGAAGUGACCGGGUGCACCCCCUAUGAUGUACCAGAAGCUACACUAGAGAAGCCAGCUGGAGUGUGACACAGAGGACAACUGAGGCAUAGUUUGGCCUGUUCUUGCAGGGUGUUUCAUUUCUACGAAGAGUAACUGAUUUCUGAAGAAGGAAGGGUACCAGUGGGAAGUUUCUGAAGAAUAAUUUCAUAAUAAAUGGAUCAUGUGUUGAAAGUUGCUUUGCACAGAGGAGCUCCUUUACUCAAAUAUUUAUUAAGAAACUUAAGAUUUUUUUAAUUGAGUUUUUUUUUAAAGGAGAGAUAAUAGAUGCUUCAAGUGUUCACUUGUCUGAACCUGAGAGAAACAAGAGUUUUAGGAUUAUACAGAUGCAAAUGUCAGUAGGAUGCGUAAGAAUGAAUGUUUCUGGCUUCCUGGGCUGUACAUUACACACCCAAGGUAGCCCAAUGACGAUGCUGGUAGAACCCGAGAGACCCGAAGGAAGGACCAAUCUGAGGUCAUCCCUGACCACUCCAGUGAUUCUGGAUGUCACUUUGUGACUCGGGCUUUAGGCCUCCUUCCCCUUCCCUCAGGCUGUGGGCAGUAAAGCCCCAUAAACAGAGGCUUGAAUACAGUCAGUCUCCAGCCUCAGAGUGUUCCAGAGUUCAUCUGUAAGUUCUUCUUUUUAAUUCAAGACAAAUUUUCCCAUGGAAAAGAAGUGACCAAUAGCAUUUAGAGUUCCAAGUCUGCCCAUCAAGGCUUCUUUCUUCCACAGUAUUGCUGGGGAAAUAUGCAUUUGCCGUGAACAGGAGUUGAAAACGAUACCGGUAUCGUGGUAGUGAAUAAAUGUUAACAUAGCUCCAGAAGACGGUUUUAAAAAUUAAUCUUAAAUGCCAGUGCCCAACGAAAUGCAAGAAUAACUAGACAGAAUAGUGGGCUGACGGAGACCUUGGGGUCUACAACUGGAGUGUCUUAUCUCUUUGAGGAUUAAUAACACUGGUUCUUUAUUAUGCCCAAGAUCACUAGAUAGAUUCGCUCAUUCAAGGAAAAUUUUUUGAGUAUCCAAAAUCUUAUAAAUAUUAUAGCAGAGAUGAAAGACCUAGAUGCUGCUCUGAAGAAGCUCAUAGAACAGCCGACUAGAAAGACACUGCUAUACACGCUUUUCAGAGAGACUUACACAUACUCCCGAGAUACAGUGUGUUGUGUCUGAGGGUUCAGGAAGCCACAGGAUAAACGUGGGGAAUCUUCCUGGACCACUAGUUCUACUCAAUAAUUGUUUGGGGGGAGACUGUUUUAUAUUAAACAAUGUAGAGAAUAGUGCAGAUUUUAUAGAUGCAUACAAUUACAAAGAAAUCUUAAAGAUCUCUGGAAGGCUGCUUUGGGCCAUACCUGAGUCUCCCCGUCUCCAGCUCCACCUUAGGGGUACUAGUUCAUCCUCUGCCUGCCCUUGGAAGCACCACUAAAACAUAGGCAUGUAUAGCAUAUGGGCUACGGAAGGGGAGAUGUCAAAAUCCCCCUGGGCAAUUCCAGGAAGGGCUUCCCAAGGAAGGUGAUGCUUAAGCCAAGGCUUCCAAACGGACUAGGAUGAAACUGGUCACGAAAACAUUCUAGGGAGGGGACAGUGUAUACCGGCCUGGGGGGGUGUGAGACAGCGUGAUGUGAUGAGAAAAUGCAAACAAUUUUGCACGGCUGAAACUCCCGGCUGGUGUAGGGAACUUCAGAGACACAUGCAUUUUCAUCUCAAAGUACUAGAAAGGAUGAUGAGUCCAGGAGUUCUCUGUUCUAACCAACAGGUAGUGCUGUCAGCACAGAGCAGCUGGGUAGUUAUCCAGAGCAAGUGGCCUUGGGAACUCUGGGAAAGCAGAUGAUGGUAUGAAGAUGGCCAAGUGUAGAAGGGAGACAUUUAAAAUCAGAGUUUUGCAACUCCAGGAAGAGCUGUAAUCACACCUGCUACUUGUUACUUUGCUCAAAAACUCUGAAUGAGAUAAAGUAUAAUCCCUGCAAACACCUUCACCGGGACGCUGAAGUUAGGACAUCAGAGGACAGGCUAUCCCCUUUCUCACCACUGAGAAACAACAUCUGAACUGCCAACACUUGCAAGCAGCGGUGUGGGAAAUCCUGCAUUGUAACUCCUUGACCUGCCACCACCUCUAGCACUUGUUAAUCCGUCACCUUUUAUGAUUCCAGAAGACAUUUACAGCCCUCUCCUAGGAAAUGAAUAUUUGGACAAUAUGUCACUGAUAAACAAUGCUGGGUAAUAAAUAUAUCAGUUACAGGCCGUCAAGUUAACUAGCUUAGGAACUGAAAGAGAAAGUCAAAGGCCUUACCUACUCCACUCUUGUUUUCUGAAGACACGGGACACUACUGGUUCUGUCCCGUGUCUGACACCUCAGCUCACAGUCUCAUAUUUCGAUCGGGGCCAUCUCUGCUGAUCGGCUUUUGCUCCUUCAAAUAAAAACUAAGUUUCCUUCACUUUGGAUGACCUAAGCAGAGACUGUAGCGUAAGCCAUAGCACAUCUUUUAACUCUUAACCUGUAUGAUAACCUCAAAAUAUCACUCCCACAUUUAGUUCGGAGUCAUUAUUUUCAAAUCCUUACAGGCAGAGUAUAACCUGGUGGUAAAAAGCCUGGGCUUUGGAACCAGACAGACUUGCGUCCAAGUCCUGGCUCUGUAUCGUCUGAGCUGUAAUCGUGGGCAAGUUAUGUAAAUACCCUAAGCCUCAUUUUCCUCAUCUAGGGAACGAGCAUAGCUGUGCCUGCCUCACAGGGUUGCAAUGAGGAGCGAGUGUGACCGAGCAACUUGCAUAGCCCUGCUGAGCACACAAUAAGGGGUCAUUAAAGGACUUUUAAUAUUAACGUCCUGGAUUUCCCCAACCUCUGGGCCCCAAAUCUCCUCAGCCCCCAAUGACAAUGGACAGACGCCUCUCAAAAACAUUAUAUUAAUCAUUUAUGAUGCAAAGUACGUAGCCUUCUAUUGUAACUGCUAAACUUUAGAGGAAAUAAGUUUCAUUGCUUCUUUCCAGAAAUACCUUUCCUCUGUGACCCAAGUGAAACCACAGGAGGAUAAACAGAUUAGAAGAAAAAACAUAUUGAGUGAAUAUUUUUUGAAGUUGCUGAAAUGAGUUGUUGAAAACAAAGACCCAAGAGAAAUGCUAGCAUAAGCCAUUGGUUUUAUAUUUAUACCUCCACGCAAAUAUCCACCCACUACUGAAAUUAUAAACCAGCGUAUAAGGUGUUAUAUUGAGAACUGGAGCAGCGUUAAAAACAUCUGUUGAUACUUGGUUGAAUCUGCUUUCCUUUUGCCAGAGGUGAACUAAUAUUGACCAAAGUCUGCCAAGAUAUAAAGAUGAGAGUCAAGUCUCAGAAAAAGGGGUAAAAUUAGAGGGAAAAGGACCUCUAAUAGCCUCCCUUCCCUAGGAAGGACCCUGCAAGGUUUACUCACGACACCACCUCCCGAUGACGAUGAGGACGACGACAGCACACAGUUAUCCAGCCCUUAUCACGUGCCAAGCACUGUGCCCUGUGCUUUAUUUUCAUUACAUCGUUCAGUCUUCACAACAAGCCUGUGAGAUUUUGCCAAAGGAACCUCAGCUUAGAGAGCUAUGACCCUGGAAUGCUUCUACUGGCCAACAAAUUCCUACCAAUCCAUCAAAGUAAAGCUCACCUCCUUCAGGGAGCCUCCUUCCCUUUCCCUCUUCACCUCCUCCAUCCCUCGUUCACUUUCUCUUCAAUCAUUCUGAAGCUUGGUUGGUUUGUUUGUUUGUUUUUUAAUAGACAUGCUUGGACUCGUAGUCAUACACCAGUUUGGUUUGAAUGCUCUUUCACUGAGUGCUGGUUGUGUCUUUGGAUGUAACUACAAUACCUUAAAGGUAGGGUGAGUCCUCAGUUUUGCCCCCAAUAUAGGGCAGGAUGUAGGGAGAUUCUGUACCUACAGAGUCCGAUCCAGGCCUAGAUAUCUAUGAAACUGCAAUGAGUUGGAUUUUCGCCUUUGACCAAGUUUCAAAUUUCAUAGUUAUUUUCGGCUUGAUACCCUGGACCAAGGGGAGAGAAAUGUCACCGUGGUACAGAGAGUUCCAGCCACAAGAAUGCUGUGGAACAGGAUAGGAAGUCG